UACUGUCCCCGUUCGCAUCACACACUUUCAUGCAUGAGCUGGAACGCAGCUCUCUGGUUGCCAUGGCAGCGCUGCAGAGAGACAUUAACAUUCUGAGCACAGUCUCCAAGACAACUGUGGGAACAUUCUAGAAUGGGACGUUUGCUAGGAGACGAGUUGCAUGUGUUCCGUAAACCGACUACUACAUGAAACCUGGAGUCCAGCUCACAGCUUAGCUCUGCAGCCAGGAGGAGUAGAAGCACAACAGGCAGACAGACA